AAAAUAUUAGAACAAAGGGUCUUACGGGCCUUGUCAACAACAUGGGGUUAUACUCUGCCAAUACUGUGGUUUCAGCUGCAGCUAGUGAAAAUCAUUGAUCAUAAACUAAAAUUUAUUUUAAGGCUGAAUUGCUUACUGCAUUCCCUUAGUGAUUUAUAAUUGGGAAGGAAGAAAAAAAAUGGUUCUUUUGAUUGUGCUUAUAUUGAAAUUUGAAUAUUUUAAUCAUUUAUACCAGCUUCAAUCUUUACUGAAGUGUUUUUGAAGUGAAUAAUUCUCAAUGACAUUUUAGAUAUCAGCAGCGUCAGCAUCUGGUAGAUGUGACGGAGAUAUUUAAUCUACUCCAUCGAGAGAAGAAGCGGCGCCUUAUUAAGCUCAUCAGUCUCGUUGUCCUUCUCUUUCUUUCUUUAUUCUGGAUGAUCUGGAGUGUGUUGGAGGAUGACGAUUAGUUGGAGAUGCUGUGGUUCUGGUUACUGUGCAGUGCCCGCUCCAGCUGUAGGUAUCAGAAGGUGUGGUCCUAAGUCAGUCGGGAGCGCAAAAUGGUUUGCCGUCAUUUCCCACGUUGUGAUGCUCCCAUCUUGUUGUAACAUGUAUUUGGUGCUUUUCUUCAUUAUUCACUGUAGUACGCAUCAAUUGUUGAUAUCGUGGUGCUUCUGAUUGCUUCUAAACCUUUACUCUCCGUAUAGCUUAUUCCAUGAUGUCCAUGCAUGAUUAACCAAAGGAACUAAAAAGGAGCUUAUGCAGCUUCCUGCAUUUGUGCUUGCAUGAAAACAUUUCUAGUGGAGUAUUCUAUCUACAUCAAAAUUAUCUAUUUUAUUUAA